rnacentral:rRNA from 1 species
GGUGAACGCUGGCGGUGUGCCUAAUACAUGCAAGUCGAGCGAAAAGAUGAUGAGCUUGCUCCUCUACCGUUAGCGGGGGACGGGUGAGUAACACGUGGAUAACAUACUUAUAAUUCUGGGAUGACUUCGGGAAACCGGAGAUAAUACUGCAUAAUACAUUCAACCGCAUGGAUCAAUAGUGAUAGACGCUUUUGCUGUCACUUUUAGCUGGUUCCGCGUCGCAUUAGCUAGUUGGUAAGGUAACGGCCUACCAAGGAAACGAUGCGUAGCUGGCCUGAGAGGAUGAUCAGCCACACUGGAACUGAGACACGGUCCAGACUCCUACGGGAGGCAGCAGUAGGGAAUAUUCGGCAAUGGGCGAAAGCCUGACGGAGCAACACCGCGUGAGUGAUGAAGGUCUUCAGGUCGUAAAGCUCUUUUAUUAGGAAAGAACAGAUGUAUAAGUAUAUAUCGACGUCUUGACGGUACCUAAACAGAAAGCCACGGCUAACUACGUG